rnacentral:rRNA from 1 species
AGGCCAGACUCCUACGGGAGGCAGCAGUGGGGAAUAUUGCGCAAUGGGGGAAACCCUGACGCAGCAACGCCGCGUGAGUGAGGAAGUAUCUCGGUAUGUAAAGCUCUAUCAGCGGGGAAGAAGGAAGACGGUACCCGACUAAGAAGCCCCGGCUAACUACGUGCCAGCAGCCGCGGUAAUACGUAGGGGGCGAGCGUUAUCCGGAUUUACUGGGUGUAAAGGGAGCGUAGACGGCGGCGCAAGUCUGAAGUGAAAGCCCGUGGCUCAACUGCGGAACCGCUUUGGAAACUGCGAGGCUGGAGUGCUGGAGAGGUAAGCGGAAUUCCUGGUGUAGCGGUGAAAUGCGUAGAUAUCAGGAGGAACACCGGUGGCGAAGGCGGCCUGCUGGACUGCGACUGACGUUGAGGCCCGAAAGCGUGGGGAGCAAACAGGAUUAGAUACCCUAGUA